rnacentral:misc_RNA from 1 species
GAAAUGCGAUAAGUAAUGUGAAUUGCAGAAUUCAGUGAAUCAUCGAAUCUUUGAACGCACAUUGCGCCCGCCAGUAUUCUGGCGAGCAUGCCUGUCCGAGCAUCAUUUCAACCAUCAAGCCCCCGGGCUUGUGUUGGGGACCUGCGGCUGCCCGCAGGCCCUGAAAACCAGUGGCGGGCUCGCUGUCACACCGAGCGUAGUAGCAAUCACCUCGCUCAGGGCGUGCUGCGGGUUCCGGCCGUUAAACAGCCUUACAAAACCCAAGGUUGACCUCGGAUCAGGUAGGAAGACCCGCUGAACUUAAGC